GUAUUUAUUUUUAAAUGUAUCCCCUCAGUUACUAAAAGCACCAUAAGCAGCGAUGCCCUGCUGGUCCUUGAAAAGCAGGGAGGUGACGACGGGGAGAGGAAGACUGGCGCGGCCAUUCUUGAACUGGAGGAGGACUUGCUGUCUUACAAAGGCGUGUCCAAAGAGGACGAUGCCUUUGACGAGAAUGACUGACUAUAACAGGCUUUUGGAUGUUGAGGCAGAAGGCAAUGACAAUUCUGAUGAUCCUAACCAGCAUUUGGAAGGUACCUAUGAUGCCUCCAAGGUGCCAGAGCACAGUGACACAGAACUAUGAGGGGGCUGGGGAGCCUGGUCACUUCGAAGAGGCGGAUGAGUGGAGGGCUCUGUCUGCAGAGGAAGCCGGUGGUAACUGAAGAUGCAGUUCUGUCUAGUUGUUGGAUUAUCAUGACUGCUAAAUAAAGAUCUGCCCCUUUAGACCUGAACAACGAGCAAGCGGUCUCGCUGCUCGGCAAGACCACAGACGGACAGGAGAAAAGACCUGAAACUCAGAGAGAAGAAACUAAAGAAAUAGAGAGAAAGUGGGGAAUCCUUGGACAGACCCCGAUGAGGCUGUGUGGUCCAGUGGUUAAAGAAAAGGGCUUGUAACCAGGAGGUCCCUGGUUCAAAUCCCACCUCCGCCACUAAAUCAGUGUGUUACCCUGAGCAAGUCACUUAACCUCCUUGUGCUCCGUCUUUCGGGUGAGAUGUAACUGUAAGUGACUCUGCAGCUGAUGUAUUGUUCACACACCCUAGUCUCUGUAAGUCACCUUGGAUAAAGGCGUCUGCUAAAUAAACAAAUAAUAAUAAUAUUGUUUUAGAGUUAGCUGACGAAACAGCAUAGAGUAGGACGGAGACCCGGGUCGUAAGGGUAGCGGCGACUGGGGAAAAUCACGCUGCAAAGUAUAGCACAUUUAUUUUGUAGUUUUCAUUACUGUGUUUUAUUUUCCCUGUUUCUUUUUGCCUUUUCGUUUUUCAUUAUUUUGAGCACCUGCUGCGAGUGCACCUGAACUGUA